rnacentral:rRNA from 1 species
UACAGAGGGUGCAAGCGUUGUUCGGAAUUAUUGGGCGUAAAGCGCGUGUAGGCGGCUCGUUAUGUCGGGUGUGAAAGCCCUCAGCUUAACUGAGGAAGUGCGCCCGAAACUGGCGAGCUUGAGUGUCGGAGAGGAUAGCGGAACACCCGGUGUAGAGGUGAAAUUCGUAGAUAUCGGGUAGAACACCAGUGGCGAAGGCGGCUAUCUGGACGACAACUGACGCUGAGACGCGAAAGCGUGGGGAGCAAGCAGG